UACGAAGGGGGCUAGCGUUGCUCGGAAUGACUGGGCGUAAAGGGCGCGUAGGCGGAGUGCUUUGUCGGGCGUGAAAUUCCAGGGCUCAACCUUGGGGCUGCGUUCGAGACGGGCAUUCUUGAGUGGGGAAGAGGGUCGUGGAAUUCCCAGUGUAGAGGUGAAAUUCGUAGAUAUUGGGAAGAACACCGGUGGCGAAGGCGGCGACCUGGUCCUUUACUGACGCUGAGGCGCGAAAGCGUGGGGAGCAAACAGG
rnacentral:rRNA from 1 species